rnacentral:lncRNA from 1 species
AUCACUGUAGCAUGUUGAUGUUGCACAGGGCACUCAGGCUGCUCCCUGCAGGAUGGUGCUGAGUCCCAGGGUUUGCAGUAAGGACUGAGGUGCAUCAUGAAGUUAUGUGAAAUUUGAGGCUGUUCCAGGGUCACGUUUGUUCUGCUUCAUUUUCCCUGUUUCCAUGUAGAGCAGCUCCACUACUAUUUGGCUGACCUUCUUCUCCCUGAGGCUGCUGUCAUUUCUCUUCUACAUGGUGUUCCAGGUACCAUUACUGCACCCUUGAUUACACCCGACUUGAAGUGAGCUUUGUACUCAUGAAGUGCUAGUCAGACUGCUGUUCUCGUUUUCAAAGUCCUGUGGUAUUCUGGGUCCCUUGUAAUGUUGAAUGACAUUUUCAAUUUCUAAAAAGGAAUCAUCACCCGGGAUUCUGAUGGGUUUAAAUAUAAUUGGUAGUUUCUUUGGGAGUAUCACCACCUUAAUAACAUUAAACCUUUGGUCCAUGAGCAUAGAAUGGUAUUUAUUUGGAUGUUGAGCUACUUCCACCAAGCAUUACAGUUUAGAAAAUAAGUUUUAUAAUUUUCUAUUUGCUAUUUAUUAUGUAUGUAUUAUAUAUUGUUAUUAUAUUGUUUAUUCUUCUAUAUUUAUUUUUUGAGUGUCAUUGUAAAUGAACUUUUUAAGUUCCAUUUCAGAAUUUUAUGAGUAAAAAGUUGAUUUUUUUUUAUUAUUAAAUUUAUGAGUUUUGUUUAUUAAUUUUUUUCACUCCUGACCUUGGGAACACGUCUUCCUCUUGGGUGCUUCCAGGUUUUGAAAAUCAUGAAUGCUGGUGCGCUGAACUUUGUAGGGCAGGAUGUCAUGUGGACCUACAUUGUGAACUCAUUUGGGUUUCCCCAACUUUGCGAAAUGGCUUAGGGUCCAGGAGCCACCGCUCUGACACGUGAGAUAGGGUUGAUCACUUCAGCCUGUGACAGUUGAGUGGCUGUGGGCCUGUGAGGAGGUUUGUGUGAGGCCUCUUUGUGUUAGAGCCCUGGGACUUCUCGGGUAUCGAUCUCCCCCAUGUCGAAGGCUUUCUGGUAGGUUCAGCAGUGAAGAAACCCUGUCAGAUGUCCUCUUCCACUUGUAGUAGAGACUGUAGGGAGCAGGAAGCCAGAAAUACAAGGCAAAUGGGCACUGUGUCAGGCAGUCACUGUUGAUGGGGUGAGAGGUGGUGAAGG